UAGGUKGAUGCUCGCUGGAUUGAGUGUUUAAUUGUUAAUUAAAUNUUCGUGGGAUCGAAGCCCGCCAACCUARU
rnacentral:tRNA from 1 species